rnacentral:rRNA from 1 species
GAUGAACGCUGGCGGCGUGCCUAAUACAUGCAAGUCGAGCGAACAGACGAGGAGCUUGCUCCUCUGACGUUAGCGGCGGACGGGUGAGUAACACGUGGAUAACCUACCUAUAAGACUGGGAUAACUUCGGGAAACCGGAGCUAAUACCGGAUAAUAUAUUGAACCGCAUGGUUCAAUAGUGAAAGACGGUUUUGCUGUCACUUAUAGAUGGAUCCGCGCCGCAUUAGCUAGUUGGUAAGGUAACGGGUUACCAAGGCAACGAUGCGUAGCCGACCUGAGAGGGUGAUCGGACAGACUGGAACUGAGACACGGUCCAGACUCCUACGGGAGGCCACAGUAGGGACUCCUCCGCGAUGGGCGAAAGCCUGACGGAGGACCGCCGCGUGAGUGAUGAACGUCUUCGGAUCGUAGAACUCUGUUAUUAGGGAAGAACAAAUGUGUAAGUAACUAUGCACGUCUUGACGGUACCUAAUCAGAAAGCCACGGCUAACUACGUG